rnacentral:rRNA from 1 species
GCCCUUUUCCGGUUGAUCCUGCCGGACCCCACUGCUAUCGGGAUGGGACUAAGACAUGCUAGUUGAGCGCUUUCCAGCCAUGUGGGAGGCGCAGCGCACAGCUCAGUAACACGUGGCUAACCUGCCCUUAGGACGAGACCAACCCCGGGAAACUGGGGAUAAUCCUCGAUAGGUGAAGAACUCUGGAAUGAGUCUUUGCCUAAAAGGCGUUGGAUCAUGCUUUCAGCGUCGCCUAAGGAUGGGGCCGCGACCGAUCAGGUUGUUGGUGAGGUAAUGGCCCACCAAGCCUAUAACCGGUGCGGGCCGUGAGAGCGGGAGCCCGGAGAUGGGCACUGAGACAAGGGCCCAGGUCCUACGGGGCGCAGCAGUCGCGAAAACUUUGCAAUACACGAAAGUGUGACAGGGUCAUCCCGAGUGCCGACCGCUGAGGUUGGCUUUUACCCAGUCUAGAAAGCUGGGGGAAUAAGGAGAGGGCAAGUCUGGUGUCAGCCGCCGCGGUAAUACCAGCUCUCCGAGUGGUGUGGACGUUUAUUGGGCCUAAAGCAUCCGUAGCUGGCUGAACAAGUCCCCUGUUAAACCCACCGAUUUAAUCGUUGGUGUGCGGGGGAUA